rnacentral:rRNA from 1 species
UACGAAGGGGGCUAGCGUUGCUCGGAAUCACUGGGCGUAAAGGGCGCGUAGGCGGAUCUUUUAAGUCGGGGGGUGAAAGCCCAGGGCUCAACCCUGGAAUUGCCUUCGAUACUGGAGAUCUUGAGCCGGAAGAGGUAAGUGGAACUGCGAGUGUAGAGGUGAAAUUCGUAGAUAUUCGCAAGAACACCAGUGGCGAAGGCGGCUUACUGGUCCGGUUCUGACG